rnacentral:rRNA from 1 species
UAAGCAUAUCAAUAAGCGGAGGAAAAGAAACUAACAAGGAUUCCCCUAGUAACGGCGAGUGAAGUGGGAAAAGCUCAACUUUGUAAUCUGGCUCUUUCAGAGUCCGAGUUGUAGUCUAGAGAGGUGAUAUCCGCGUCGGACCUUAAACAAGGCUGUUGGAAUGCAGCGUCGUAGAGGGUGAGAAUCCCGUACAUAUUAAGGAGCCCGUAUGCAUUGUGAUACGCUUUCAAAGAGUCGAGUUGUUUGGGAAUGCAGCUCAAAUUGGGUGGUAAAUUCCAUCUAAAGCUAAAUAUUGGCGAGAGACCGAUAGCGAACAAGUACCGUGAGGGAAAGAUGAAAAGCACUUUGGAAAGAGAAUGAAACAGUAUGUGAAAUUGCUGGAAGGGAAACGAUUGAA